UCAAGUGAAGCUCUCACUGCAGGAGUGAAGCACACAGAACCAGAGAGACUCUGAACGAUCUGGUGAAAACAAACACAGUGAUGUGCUUGCUGGUGCCUCUGAAGAGAUCUCCAAAACAUAUACACCCAAGCUACUGGACCAACAUCAUUCAUGAUGUGACAACGAAGGAAUUCCAGAACAACUUCUGCGGUUGCUCUGCGGCAGGAGUGUCAGGGCGUUGAGAGGGAAAUCUGUCAGACAGCAGACAUGAAUUUGACGCGUUCUGUCCAUGCACCAUCACUCAUUGUUUCUAUGGCAACCACUCAAGCCAGUCAGGAGUGAGCUUGUUGAAAGGCCACACCCUUACAACUUUGAACGGGGGCCUGGGAAAAUCUGUCAAACAUGAGAAGACCUACUUUUACUGCGACAUCUGACUGACGGAUGAAAUUGGAAUGAGAAACAAACCAGAGCAUUCAGAUGACCAGCUGGAGUCUGAAACAUUCUGUCUGAAGCUGAAGGAAGCUGACUGGGAAAAGCUUGAUUUCUCUUUCUUGUGAGUUUUUAUUUUUAUUAUUAUUUUUAUUAGCAGUGCUCCAUGAAUGCUGUAGCAGAAAAGAGGGCUUUCGGCUCAAGUCGAGCUGAAGUGGUGUUUCUUUGGAAGAUGAUUAAUGAAGCUCCUGUCCACAAAAACUAGAAGUGUUCUUCCUCAUCACACAAGUGAUGCUGAUUAAUUCACUGAAGUGUACUCUAAUUACUGCCUCACUCUUUAUCUAUGCGGCUCUUUUCCUGUGGAGUUAGACCGCUGAACAGCAGUGAGCAGCAUUUUUUUUUUUGGGGGGGGGGGUCUCACAGUCUCACCUGUGCAUCAGUUCUACAUGAGAGCUUCGACUCAUCACUGUGAUCUCCGCGUGGAGGCCAGGCCAAGGAUGGAUGUGAGCUGCUGGACCUUCAGCCCUCUGCCAGCUGGACUCUGCACCAUCCACUUCCAAAUGAUCUGACUUCCUGUCUCCAACCUGCUCUGCAUUCACCACUGCAGCCUGUCAGUUUGCCAGCCCUCUCUCUUACAAAAUCGACAGUCAUCCAUCCUUGGCACGGCGGUGGCUCCCCCUAAACAGCCUCAAUAAAAACCGCGAUGCUGUAUACAUUUCCAUUAA